CUUUUCGAGGUAGGAGUCGACUCCUGUGAGGUAUGGUGCUGGGUGCAGAUGCAGUGUGGCUCUGGAUAGCACCUUAUGGACAGUUGUGUCCCCAAGGAAGGAUGAGAAUAGCUACUGAAGUCCUAAAGAGCAAGCCUAACUCAAGCCAUUGGCACACAGGCAUUAGACAGAAAGCUGGAAGUUGAAAUGGUGGAGUCCAACUUGCCUGGACCAGCUUAAUGGUUCUGCUCCUGGUAACGUUUUUAUCCAUGGAUGACUUGCUUGGGUAAGGACAUGAAGACAGUUCCUGUCAUACCUUUUAAAGGUAUGGAGAGUCGGCUUGACUACACUGUGUGGAGCAAGUUUUAAAGAAGCAAAGGACUCAGAAUUCAUGAUUGAAGAAAUGCAGGCAGACCUGUUAUCCUAAACUAGGGUUUUUAAUGACCACAACAAGCAAGCAUGCAGCUUACUGCUUGAAAGGGUCUUGCCUCACCCAAGCUAGAGUGCAGUGGCCUUUGAAGCUUACUACAGCCUCAAACUUCUGGGCUCAAGUGAUCCUCAGCCUCCCAGUGGUCUUUGUAGACUGCCUGAUGGAGUCUCAUGGCACAAGAAGAUUAAAACAGUGUCUCCAAUUUUAAUAAAUUUUUGCAAUCCA
rnacentral:lncRNA from 1 species